rnacentral:rRNA from 1 species
ACUUGAAUUGAAGAGUUUGAUCAUGGCUCAGAUUGAACGCUGGCGGCAGGCUUAACACAUGCAAGUCGAACGGUAGCAGGAGAAAGCUUGCUUUCUUGCUGACGAGUGGCGGACGGGUGAGUAAUGCUUGGGAAUUUGGCUUAUGGAGGGGGAUAACGACGGGAAACUGUCGCUAAUACCGCGUAUUAUCGGAAGAUGAAAGUGCGGGACUGAGAGGCCGCAUGCCAUAGGAUGAGCCCAAGUGGGAUUAGGUAGUUGGUGGGGUAAAGGCCUACCAAGCCUGCGAUCUCUAGCUGGUCUGAGAGGAUGACCAGCCACACUGGAACUGAGACACGGUCCAGACUCCUACGGGAGGCAGCAGUGGGGAAUAUUGCGCAAUGGGGGGAACCCUGACGCAGCCAUGCCGCGUGAAUGAAGAAGGCCUUAGGGUUGUAAAGUUCUUUCGGUAUUGAGGAAGGUUGAUGUGUUAAUAGCACAUCAAAUUGACGUUAAAUACAGAAGAAGCACCGGCUAACUCCGUGCCAGCAGCCGCGGUAAUACGGAGGGUGCGAGCGUUAAUCGGAAUAACUGGGCGUAAAGGGC